GUGGAACAAUCACUUCGCUGAGACGCUGGAAGCAAGGGUGGAGAGUUCGAUUCCUGGAGUUAACACUGGGAGCCAUAUGGAGAGGAAGUCAUUGGUGUGAACAAACGCCCAGUGAGGAGAGCUCUCUUUGCGGAAGGAGUCCAAAUGAGUUGUGGGAACCUGGGAGCCAACAAGGGCACAUCCUGCGAUUUACCUCCCUGAGCUGCUGAGGGGCCGGAGGUUCAGGGACAAGGAUCUAGUCGGACGCAAGCCCGGACACCUUG
rnacentral:lncRNA from 1 species